GCGUUUUUUAUGGGUUGAAAAUUAGCUUCUGAAGUCGGAAAGGCACUGUGCACUUUCAGAGUCCAAGGAGCAGAAGAUAUUUUGUGCUACUCAAACUUUGGUAUUUGUUUACCUGCAAGAAAUUUCUCCAAGCCGGCCAUCCCAUAAGAGACCUCUGCAAAGUGGUAUGGAGUCUUGGCAAGAAAGCUGGAGGGAUAACCCGGUGC
rnacentral:lncRNA from 1 species